GCUAAUUGAUUCCUUGCUGAAAAAGAUAAACUGAGAAGCCUUUUCUUUUUUUUCGCUGAGCUAAUUGUGGAAAGACAUGAUAGAUCUUAACAUCGGAAAAAAGCCAGAAGGUCUGCUGCAUAUGGCAAAAUUUAUCAUUUGAAGGCUAAGGAGAAAAAGUUAUCAACUGGUAAUAUGGCUGAUGUUCAAUAGUGAAGAGGUGAAGCUUAGCCUUGCAAACGCAAAAUUUGAUCUUACUUUUGAGUGGCGCAAAAGUUUCUUUUUCUAGGACGAUACAAGUGUAGCUACACUUAGCUUAGGAGGAAUUGCCCAUUCUUAAGCAGAAUUGUGAAGACAAAUUGAUUGUGGCAAUUUUUUCUCUCAUUUCGUUAAAAGGAAGUCCAGAGUUUUAUCUUACUAAAAACAUUCCCUCAACAAAGCGAAGAUAAAAAGGACGCACGUGAUUCACGC